GAAAACAUUUGGCUUUUUUAUUAUUAAAAUUUAUGCCACAUUAGUAAAAAUAUAUAAAAUAAUAAUUUUGUGACGCCAGCAACAAUGUCUUAGUCAAUCACCACGUCCUCAACACCAUCUAAAAUAAGAAUAUUUUGGCCACAGUCAUGUGUUAUAUUGGCCUCUUAAAUCCUUAAUUUUAAAACCUGACCAAAAUAAAUACUAAACUUUGAAAUGGGCCACAAUUGAAAAAAAAUAAAAGAAUUUGCCAAAAUUGACAAUUCAUGUAAAGGUUAAGUCAUUUGUAAUUGCCAGCAGUUUUUAAAUGUAACCAAUAAUGUCUUUAACUUGGUAGUUCUAGUUUGAGCUAUUUGUAGGUUUCAUUGGGUACUUUCCUUUUUU
rnacentral:misc_RNA from 1 species